rnacentral:rRNA from 1 species
AUGGCGAUCAGGGAAGGUUUGUCCCUAGCUCAAGACUUGAACUUGCAUCGGAUUCAUCUAGCGUUAGAUUGUCGAGGCGUCGUGGAAGAAAUUCAUCGUGGAAGUGGUUCCGUCUAUGGGGCGGUCAUUCAGGAGAUUAGAUUUAAUUCUACUACUUUUACUUCAUGUAACAUAGUCGAUGAAUUUAGGAGCUCAAAUAUUGAGGCUCACAAUCUAGCGAAGCAUGCAUUGAGGUUAGGGCCUGGCCAACAUGUUUGGUUAGGACGGCCGACCGAUAUUCCUUUUAUCCGUGUAAACGUGGUGACGGUUGAAUAA